rnacentral:misc_RNA from 1 species
CUUUGAUGGUGUAUCCUCAAAACAAAAUGGUUAUUAUUUAUCGACAGAAGAAAUAGAAGAUUUCUCUAAAGGCUUGGAGAAUAUUCUCACCAAGCUUAAUCCAACUAUUGAGCUAUGUUGGAAUCUUCAUCAUCGUUUGGCAAAGAAAUUGACUAUUACAUCGGCACAGUGUUUUAUAUACUCAAGAUGCUUAUCUUCAAUUGCGCCCC